rnacentral:rRNA from 1 species
UAGGGAAUAUUGGGCAAUGGUCGAGAGACUGACCCAGCCAUGCCGCGUGAAGGAAGAAGGCUUUCUGAGUUGUAAACUUCUUUUAUCUGGGAAUAAAAUACUCAUGCGUGAGGAACUGAAGGUACCAGAUGAAUAAGCACCGGCUAACUCCGUGCCAGCAGCCGCGGUAAUACGGAGGGUGCAAGCGUUGUCCGGAUUUAUUGGGUUUAAAGGGUGCGUAGGUGGCUUAUUAAGUCAGUGUUUAAAGUCAACAGCUCAACUGUUGGAAUGGCAUUGAUACUGAUGAGCUUGAGUAAAGUUGAGGUAGACAGAAUUGAUGGUGUAGCGGUGAAAUGCAUAGAUAUCAUCAAGAAUACCGAUUGCGAAGGCAGUUUACUAAGCUUUAACUGACACUGAGGCACGAAAGUGUGGGGAUCAAACAG